rnacentral:ncRNA from 1 species
GAGUAAUGCCUGGGAACUUGCCCAUUUGAGGGGGAUAACAGUUGGAAACGACUGCUAAUACCGCAUACGCCCUACGGGGGAAAGGAGGGGCUCUUCGGACCUUCCGCGAAUGGAUAGGCCCAGGUGGGAUUAGCUAGUUGGUAAGGUAACGGCUUACCAAGGCGACGAUCUCUAGCUGGUUUGAGAGGAUGAUCAGCCACACUGGAACUGAGACACGGUCCAGACUCCUACGGGAGGCAGCAGUGGGGAAUAUUGCACAAUGGGGGAAACCCUGAUGCAGCCAUGCCGCGUGUGUGAAGAAGGCCUUCGGGUUGUAAAGCACUUUCAGCGAGGAGGAAAGGUUAGUAGUUAAUACCUGCUAGCUGUGACGUUACUCGCAGAAGAAGCACCGGCUAACUCCGUGCCAGCAGCCGCGGUAAUACGGAGGGUGCGAGCGUUAAUCGGAAUUACUGGGCGUAAAGCGUGCGCAGGCGGUUUGUUAAGCAAGAUGUGAAAGCCCCGGGCUCAACCUGGGAAUCGCAUUUUGAACUGGCAAGCUAGAGUCUUGUAGAGGGGGG